rfam:Aedes aegypti strain Liverpool supercont1.62 genomic scaffold, whole genome shotgun sequence.
GGCUUGGUAGCUUAGUUGGUAAAGCGCUCGUCUAGCAUACAAGAGUCCUGGGUUCGAAUCCCAGCCGAGCAC